AGUGAACGCUGGCGGCGUGCCUAAUACAUGCAAGUCGAACGAAGUGGCGCGCGGGUGAGUAAUAUAUAGUUAAUCUGCCCUACACAGAGGAACAACAGCUGGAAACGACUGCUAAUACCUCAUAUUGUAGGAUGAUAGUAUAUCGUAUCAGCUAGUUGGUAAGGUAAUGGCUGACCAAGGCUAUGACGCGUAACUGGUCGGAGAGGAUGAUCAGUCACAUUGGAACGGAGGCACGGUCCAAACUCCUACGGGAAGCAGCAGUAAGGAAUAUUGCGCAAUGGGGGAAACCCUGACGCGGCAACGCCGCGUGGAGGAUGACACUUUGGGGAGCAUAAACUCCUUUUAUCAGGAAAGCGGUACCUGAUGAAUAAGCACCGGCUAACUCCGUGCCAGCAGCCGCGGUAAUUC
rnacentral:rRNA from 1 species